GAUCCCAUUUCGAACUCAGUAGUGAAACAUGUAUGCGCCGAUGAUAGUGUGGGGCUUCCCCAUGCGAAAGUAGGUCAUCGCCAGGU
rnacentral:rRNA from 1 species